UGGGGCUUAGCCAAGCGGUAAGGCAUCGAGUUUUGGUCUCGACAUGCCUGGUUCGACUCCAGGAGCCCCAGCCA
rnacentral:tRNA from 1 species